rnacentral:rRNA from 1 species
UACGGGGGGGGCAAGCGUUGUUCGGAAUUACUGGGCGUAAAGGGCUCGUAGGCGGCCAACUAAGUCAGACGUGAAAUCCCUCGGCUUAACCGGGGAACGGCCUCUGAUACUGGCUGGCUGGAGUUCGGGAGAGGGAUGCGGAAUUCCAGGUGUAGCGGUGAAAUGCGUAGAUAUCUGGAGGAACACCGGUGGCGAAGGCGGCAUCCUGGACCGGCAUUGACGCUGAGGCGCGAAAGCUAGGGUAGCAAACGGG